UACAGAGGUGGCAAGCGUUGUUCGGAAUUACUGGGCGUAAAGGGCGCGUAGGCGGUCUCAUAAGUCCCGUGUGAAAUCCCCCGGCUCAACUGGGGAACGGCACGGGAAACUGCGAGGCUCGAGUUCGGGAGAGGGAAGCGGAAUUCCGGGUGUAGCGGUGAAAUGCGUAGAUAUCCGGAGGAACACCGGUGGCGAAGGCGGCUUCCUGGACCGACACUGACGCUGAGGCGCGAAAGCUAGGGGAGCAAACGGG
rnacentral:rRNA from 1 species